rnacentral:tRNA from 1 species
GGGGAUAUGGCUCAGUUGGUAGAGUGCUUGCCUUGCAAGCACACGCCUUGGGUUCUAAUCCCCAGUACCCCCC